rnacentral:rRNA from 1 species
CCUACGGGUGGCAGCAGUGGGGGAUAUUGCACAAUGGGGGAAACCCUGAUGCAGCGACGCCGCGUGGGUGAAGAAGCGCCUCGGCGCGUAAAGCUCUGUCAGCAGGGAAGAAAAUGACGGUACCUGAAGAAGAAGCCCCGGCUAACUACGUGCCAGCAGCCGUGGUAAUACGGAGGGGGCAAGCGUGAUCCGGAUUUACUGGGGGUAAAGGGGGCGCAGACGGCGAUGCAAGCCAGGAGGGAAAGCCCGGGGCCGAACCCCGGGACUGCUCUUGGAACUGCGUGGCUAGAGUGCAGGAGGGGCAGGCGGAAUUCCUGGUGUAGCGGUGAAAUGCGUAGAUAUCAGGAGGAACACCGGUGGCGAAGGCGGCCUGCUGGACUGCAACUGACGUUGAGGCCCGAAAGCGUGGGGAGCAAACAGGAUUAGAUACCCUGGUAGUC